rnacentral:tRNA from 1 species
ACCUGGGUAGCUUAGUCGGUUAAGCAUCUGGCUUCAGUUCAGGUCACGCUCUCAGGGUUCGUGGGUUUGAGCUCUACGUCAGGUU